rnacentral:rRNA from 1 species
UACGUAGGGUGCAAGCGUUAAUCGGAAUUACUGGGCGUAAAGCGUGCGCAGGCGGUUGUGUAAGACAGAUGUGAAAUCCCCGGGCUCAACCUGGGAACUGCAUUUGUGACUGCACAGCUGGAGUGCGGCAGAGGGGGAUGGAAUUCCGCGUGUAGCAGUGAAAUGCGUAGAUAUGCGGAGGAACACCGAUGGCGAAGGCAAUCCCCUGGGCCUGCA